GGGCCUGUAGCUCAGUUGGCUAGAGCGCCUCGCUGGCAGCGAGGAGGUCACCGGUUCAAGCCCGGUCAGGUCCACCA
rnacentral:tRNA from 1 species